CUUUUACUCUCCACCACCACCACAAUCAACCGCUUUUUUCUUCUUCUUGUUCGCUCGUCACAAAUUCUCCCUCUCUCUUUCCAAAUCAAAACUACUGUGCAGAAACUGCUACUAUAUGCAGCAAAAAUAAAAUGCUAAGUAGUUUUGAGGGAAGACCCUUCAAAUACAAAUUUGGAUUUUGAAUUCUAGAGAGCUGAUAUAUUUUACUUAAAGCCUAUGUCCAAGGCUGAGCACAUGGGUGUUUCUCCAUCAAAAGUUUCUCAUACUAAAAGUUAUUCAUGCCCUGCACAAACUACACUGGAAAAUACGCACGAACCCAGUGCUGAAUACAAUUUUGGUGGAUAUCCGGAAGAGAGGCAUAAGCUUGAGUGUGAAAUCAUACAAACUGAAGCUGGAGAUAGCAGUGCUGCAGUUCUCCAAUCUUGUUCUGGUGAAGUUGUGCAACCAUCUACUGACGAUUUAACAAAAAGUUCUCUUAUUGAUUUGGACCCACCUCCUGACAAUGCAAGGAGUGCUCCGUUUGAUAAUAGUCCAAGACUUAUAUCAACCGCUAUGGAUCAGAAACUCGAGCCAGGUGCUACAAGUGUGAAUACUGCUUGUGUGCAUAGUGAAUCAUCAAAAGCAAUUGACUCUAGUAUUCUACUGGAUGAACCUAGGAAUAGCAACACAGAAUUGUCAAGCUGCAUUGCAAAUGAAACCUCACAAGCAUCACUUGAAGAUCUAGCCAAUGAUUCUCGUGCUGAAGAUGCAGGACUGUCACUUGUAGAGGCAAGCAAUAGUGACCUGAUUGAUGAAAGUUCAUACUCUCAACAAACUACGUCUGGACAGACACGUGAGUUUCAUUCUGACAGAGCUUGUUGUAAACCAUUGGAAGAAAGACGGAAGCCCGGCUCUGAACUUGCAGAAAAUGAAUCAAUGGAAAUUGGCACUGGAUUAUCCAGUGGUAUUUCUAUCGAGAAUUUGGAGCCGCUUACUGAACUUGUGAACAAGAGUUGUCCUAUCAAACAUAUAGGCUUGCCUCCUGGUGAUGACAUCAGCAUUCCUGCAAAUGAACAAAUAAGACCUACUCAUGAUAAGGAGUCCAAAUACCCUGAUUGUGAACAUUUGGAAAAACUAUCUGGAAUUGUGAUUGGUAUUACUAGCCAAGGUGUACCCAGUGUUAAGAAAACUCCAAAAUUGUCAGGGAAGAAAAAUAUAAGUUCUUCGAGAAAAAGCGAUAGAGUUCUCCGGUCAAACUCACAAGAGAAACCUAAAGCUCCUGAGUCGAGUUAUAAUUCUACUAAUGUUAAUUCCACUGGUGAGGAAAAAGGGAAGAGGAGGAAAAAGAGAAGAGGGAAAAGUAUAGUGGCUGAUGAAUAUUCCAGAAUCAGGGCACGUCUUAGGUACUUGUUGAAUCGGAUGAGCUAUGAGCAAAGCUUGAUCACAGCUUAUUCCGGGGAAGGCUGGAAAGGACUUAGCCUAGAAAAGUUAAAGCCUGAGAAGGAGUUGCAACGGGCCACAUCUGAAAUCAUCAGACGCAAAGUGAAAAUAAGGGAUUUAUUUCAACAUAUUGAUUCACUAUGCGGUGAAGGAAGGUUCCCAGCAUCUUUGUUUGAUUCUGAAGGACAAAUUGACAGUGAGGAUAUAUUCUGUGCAAAAUGUGGAUCCAAAGAUUUGACUGCUGAUAAUGAUAUUAUACUAUGUGAUGGUGCUUGCGACCGAGGGUUUCAUCAAUUCUGUUUGGUACCACCAUUGUUAAGAGAAGACAUUCCUCCUGGUGAUGAGGGCUGGUUAUGCCCUGGAUGUGAUUGCAAAGUUGACUGCAUUGACUUGCUUAAUGACUCUCAAGGAACAAAUAUAUCUAUCAGUGACAGCUGGGAGAAUGUUUUCCCCGAGGCAGCUGCAGUAGCAUCUGGACACAAACUCGACUACAACUUUGGAUUGUCUUCUGAUGAUUCUGAUGAUAAUGAUUAUGAUCCUGAUGGUCCAGAUAUUGACGAGAAGAGUCAGGAGGAAUCAAGCUCUGACGAAUACAGCUUCAGUUCUGCGUCUGAUGAAUUUGAGGCUCCACCUGAUGAUAAACAGUACUUGGGGCUCCCUUCUGAUGAUUCAGAGGAUGAUGACUAUGAUCCUGAUGCUCCAGUUCUCGAGGAGAAGCUGAAGCAGGAAAGUUCCAGUUCUGAUUUUACUUCAGACUCUGAGGAUCUUGAUGCCACUCUUAAUGGUGAUGGGUUGUCUUUAGGAGAUGAAUACCACAUGCCUAUUGAACCUCAUGAAGAUUCUAAUGGGCGAAGAUCGAGAUUUGGUGGAAAGAAGAAUCAUUCUUUAAACAGCAAGCUUUUAUCCAUGCUAGAACCAGAUUCUCACCAAGAAAAGUCUGCACCUGUUUCUGGAAAAAGAAAUAUUGAAAGAUUGGACUACAAGAAGCUCUAUGAUGAAACAUAUGGAAACAUUUCUACUUCAAGUGAUGAUGAUUACACUGAUACUGUUGCACCAAGGAAGAGGAGGAAAAACACUGGAGAUGUUGCUAUGGGGAUAGCAAAUGGAGAUGCUUCUGUUACUGAGAAUGGAAUGAAUAGCAAGAAUAUGAAUCAGGAAUUAAAGAAGAAUGAACAUACUUCUGGAAGAACUCGCCAAAACUCAAGCUUUCAAGAUACAAAUGUUUCCCCAGCAAAAACACAUGUAGGCGAAUCUCUCUCUGGUUCUAGCAGUAAAAGAGUUAGGCCCUCUGCUUACAAAAAACUUGGAGAAGCUGUAACUCAGAAACUGUACAGUUUCUUCAAGGAAAAUCAGUAUCCUGACCAAGCCGCAAAGGCAAGUUUGGCAGAAGAGCUAGGAAUUACUUUUGAGCAGGUUAACAAGUGGUUCAUGAAUGCUCGUUGGAGCUUCAACCAUUCAUCACCUGAAGGUACAAGUAAAGCUAAAAGUGCUUCAGGAAAGGGUAGCUGUGAUGGGCAUGUGAGGGAUAGUGAAUCGAAGAACCAAAAGAGCAAUAAACAAAAAACUAGCACCCCAAAAUCUAGGAGAUAGUGUGAAGUAGAUCUUCAAAAAUAUUUUAUUGAAUCAAGAAUUGAGGAAGCCGAGGUCUCCUUUCGAUUUGCACAAAGCUCUUGUGCAAAUUGUUGGUCGGGAAAUCCAUUUUAUUCUAUGAUCCUAGUAGACGAACUGACCAUUUACCUUCUGCAAGAACAAGAUGCUAGGAGAUAAUAUACUGGUUUUAUUGCCAACGACGAACUCUGCCAUGAAGGUGACCCCAAGACGCUACUGUUGUGCUGUAAUUGGUGAUUCGCUCACUGCUGUUUUCAUUUAUUAGAAGGUGUUUUGAUUAUUGUCUCUGAUCGAAGUCGAAGAAUGCAUGCCCAUUUUGGCAAGAGUGACAAGAGGAGAUGUGUAAGCAGCUAUCCAACCAGGUGAUCAAUGCAGUAGUUAUUGGUGGGUUUUACUGAUCAAAUGAUUUAUAACUUUCCUGUCUUGUUUUUCUUUUCCUAUGAAAUAGUAUUAUUCUUUCGGAGAUAACCCAAAUAUACAAAAAUAAACAAAUAAAUGCUUUGGCUCGAUGUAAUUCUACAGUUCUCUGGUGGAAAAACACUGUAUAUAAAUCUAUGUUUAUUGCGUAUUUUAAUAGUAAA